rnacentral:tRNA from 1 species
ACUUUUCUGGCAGAAUUAAUGCAAUAAAUUUAGAAUUUAUAAAUACAAUAAUUGUGAAAA